rnacentral:rRNA from 1 species
GAUGAACGCUGGCGGCGUGCUUAACACAUGCAAGUCGAACGAUGAAGCCCAGCUUGCUGGGUGGAUUAGUGGCGAACGGGUGAGUAACACGUGAGUAACCUGCCCUUAACUCUGGGAUAAGCCUGGGCAACUGGGUCUAAUACCGGAUAGGAGCGUCCACCGCAUGGUGGGUGUUGGAAAGAUUUAUCGGUUUUGGAUGGACUCGCGGCCUAUCAGCUUGUUGGUGAGGUAAUGGCUCACCAAGGCGACGACGGGUAGCCGGCCUGAGAGGGUGACCGGCCACACUGGGACUGAGACACGGCCCAGACUCCUACGGGAGGCAGCAGUGGGGAAUAUUGCACAAUGGGCGCAAGCCUGAUGCAGCGACGCCGCGUGAGGGAUGACGGCCUUCGUGGUGUAAACCUCUUUCAGUAGGGAAGAAGCGAAAGUGACGGUACCUUCAGAAGAAGCACCGGCUAACUACGUG